UGUAAUGAUAGUGAAAGACCCCCGAAGGGAGA
rnacentral:piRNA from 1 species